AUUGAACGCUGGCGGCAGGCCUAACACAUGCAAGUCGAUCGAGCGGCGGACGGGUGAGUAAUGUAUGGGGAUCUGCCCGAUAGAGGGGGCUACCUCCUGGAACCGGUGGCUAAUACCGCCUACUAUCGGAUUAACCCAUAUGGGAUUGGCUAGUAGGUUGGGUAAAGGCUCACCUAGGCGACGAGCUCUAGUUGGUCUGAGAGGAUGAUCAGCCACACUGGGACGGAGACACGGCCCAGACGACUACGGGAGGCAGGAGUGGGGAAUAUUGCACAAUGGGCGGAAGCCUGAUGCAGCCAUGCCGCGUGUAUGAAGAAGGCCUUAGGGUGGUAAAGUACUUUCAGCGGGGAGGCGUUACCCGCAGAAGAAGCACCGGCUAACUCCGUGCCAGCAGCCGCGGUAAUAC
rnacentral:rRNA from 1 species